rnacentral:rRNA from 1 species
AGAGUUUGAUCCUGGCUCAGGACUAACGCUGGCGGCGUGCCUAACACAUGCAAGUCGAACGAGGGUAGCAAUACCCUAGUGGCAGACGGGUGAGUAACACGUGGUCAACCUACCUCUAUGUGGGGGAUAACUAGCCGAAAGGUUAGCUAAUACCGCAUACGAUCGUCGAGCGGCAUCGCUUGACGAUGAAAGGAGCAAUCCGCAGAGAGACGGGACCGCGUCCCAUUAGCUAGUUGGUGGGGUAAUGGCCUACCAAGGCGACGAUGGGUAGCUGGCUUGAGAGAGCGACCAGCCACACUGGGACUGAGACACGGCCCAGACUCCUACGGGAGGCAGCAGUGAGGAAUUUUCCGCAAUGGGCGAAAGCCUGACGGAGCGACGCCGCGUGUGGGAAGAAGGCCUUCGGGUCGUAAACCACUGUCGAAGGGGAAGAUAUUGACGGUACCCUUGGAGGAAGCCCCGGCUAACUACGUGCCAGCAGCCGCGGUAAUAC